ensembl:snRNA U6 U6 spliceosomal RNA
UUGGUCGCUUUGGCAGCACAUAUGCUAAAAUUGGAACAGUACAGAGAUUAGCAUGGCCCCUGUGUGAGAAGGACACACAGAUUUGUGAAGCAUUCCAUUAAAGA